UACGUAGGGGGCGAGCGUUAUCCGGAUUCACUGGGUGUAAAGGGAGCGUAGGCGGUGCAGCAAGUCAGAAGUGAAAGCCCGGGGCUCAACUCCGGGACUGCUUUUGAAACUGUUGAACUAGAUUGCAGGAGAGGUAAGUGGAAUUCCUAGUGUAGCGGUGAAAUGCGUAGAUAUUAGGAGGAACACCAGUGGCGAAGGCGGCUUACUGGACUGUAAAUGACGCUGAGGCUCGAAAGCGUGGGGAGCAAACAGG
rnacentral:rRNA from 1 species